UUUUUAGAAACCUGCACGCCUGGAUUGAUUUCCGUCCAUGUGCAACAUGUGCUUGACUGACGUAGAAGGAGCUGCAAGGAGAUACCGUAAAAGUCCACUCUCCAAGCUGUACAUGUUUUUGUUUUUCCCUCCACCUAAAUAAACAAAGUAAUAUACACGUUGGACAUUAUUAUUUGUGGAAGGGGCGUGGUCCACGCAUCCCCUUUGGGCAGGGCAUGCACAAGAGCCGGCUGUGAGGCAACUGACAGGUGAGGAGAUAUCUCAGCUGCAACGAGUUAUCUAAUCACCUGUCUCUUUAUUAGCAGCGUCAGAGACCAUGAGAGGGAGGGGAGAGAGCGCUGACAGACGGACGAACCAGGGGAAGCACGAGCACAACGACAUUUGCACGAAAGAGCAAAAAUAAAAGACUUGUAAAACCUGA